CCGGCUAACUUCGUGCCAGCAGCCGCGGUAAUACGAAGGGGGCUAGCGUUGUUCGGAAUUACUGGGCGUAAAGCGCGCGCAGGCGGUCUUCCAAGUCAGUGGUGAAAGCCCGGAGCUCAACUCCGGAACUGCCAUUGAAACUGUGAGACUAGAGUACGAGAGAGGUGAGUGGAAUUCCCAGUGUAGAGGUGAAAUUCGUAGAUAUUGGGAAGAACACCGGUGGCGAAGGCGGCUCACUGGCUCGUUACUGACGCUCAGGCGCGACAGCGUGGGGAUCAAACAGGAUUAGAUACCCUGGUAGUCCACGCCCUAAACGAUGAACGCUAGCCGUUGGCCAGCUUGCUGGUCAGUGGCGCAGCUAACGCAUUAAGCGUUCCGCCUGGGGAGUACGGCCGCAAGGUUGAAACUCAAAGGAAUUGACGGGGGCCCGCACAAGCGGUGGAGCAUGUGGUUUAAUUCGACGCAACGCGCAGAACCUUACCAGGGUUUGACAUCCCAAGACCGCCGGAGAGAUCCGGUUUUCCCGCAAGGGACUUGGAGACAGGUGCUGCA
rnacentral:rRNA from 1 species